rnacentral:rRNA from 1 species
CAACUGUGGAGCGGCAGUGGAAACUGGAGAGCUAGAGCAUGGUAGGGGUAGAGGGAAUUCCCGGUGUAGCGGUGCAAUGCGUAGAUAUCGGGAAGAACACCAGUGGCGAAGGCGCUCUACUGGGCCAUGACUGACGCUGAGGGACGAAAGCUAGGGGAGCGAAAGGGAUUAGAUACCCCUGUAGUCCUAGCUGUAAACGAUGGACACUAGGUGUUGCGCGUAUCGACCCGUGCAGUAUCGAAGCUAACGCGUUAAGUGUCCCGCCUGGGGAGUACGCACGCAAGUGUGAAACUCAAAGGAAUUGACGGGGGCCCGCACAAGCGGUGGAGUAUGUGGUUUAAUUCGAUGCAACGCGAAGAACCUUACCAGGGCUUGACAUCCUGCGAAUCUUCCUGAAAGGGGAGAGUGCCUUCGGGAGCGCAGAGACAGGUGGUGCAUGGCUGUCGUCAGCUCGUGUCGUGAGAUGUUGGGUUAAGUCCCGCAACGAGCGCAACCCUCGUUUUUAGUUGCCAUCAUUCAGUUGGGCACUCUAGAGAGACUGCCGGGGACAACUCGGAGGAAGGUGGGGACGACGUCAAGUCAUCAUGCCCCUUACGUCCUGGGCUACACACGUACUACAAUGCUGCGGGCAGAGGGCAGCGAACUCGCGAGAGUAAGCAAAUCCCAUAAACCGCGGCCCAGUUCAGAUUGCAGGCUGCAACUCGCCUGCAUGAAGGAGGAAUCGCUAGUAAUCGCCGGUCAGCAUACGGCGGUGAAUACGUUCCCGGGCCUUGUACACACCGCCCGUCACACCAUGGGAGUUGGCCACGCCCGAAGUCGUUACUCUAACC